CCCGAGUUAACGGGACUUAAAAUAUAACGGGUUAUAACUUCCCGAACCUAUUAAGUUAACUAGGGAUAAUUAACCUAGUUAUUAGUAUGAGGCUAAGUGAUAAAUAGUGAGUUGUAGCUUCAAAUGAUCAAAAUAAAACAUGGGGGACUAGGGUUGCCUAGUGAAGAAACUUGUUUUAAUUAAAUCAAGAAAUAAAACACAACACACACUAAGAGUGUGUGUGUGUGUGCGUACGACCAGGAGGGGCUCCAAGGAGCCAAGCCCUAGCUUGAUCAAUACCUUCAAAUUGGAGGAUCAAUUCAAGACCAAAUCAAUGCAUGAACGCGUAUAAACGAUCACCGAGUCAAGAGGAUCGAAAGGUGGAGGCUUGGGAAAGAAGCGGUCAAACGAAUCAAGCACGAGAAGAAAAAGCGUAUUCGGGUGCGAGGAGUAAAUGUGAAAUGGGUAUUAGCAACGCCAUGGAUUAGCGGUUAUAAAAGCAAGGUAUUAAAAACGGGUUGAUAUAUUGACCCGCGCCAGGUACACUAUGGGAUGCCGGAAGACGAUCAAACUGAAGAACCGAACACCAUAAAGACUCAUGCUUCCGCACUUUGCCUCGUUGUAAAUUUUAACGACGAACCCAAUCACGUUCAUAGAUUAGCUUAUGAAUUGUAAAAGUUUUAAUUUACUCGGAAUUGUCUAAGGAUUCAUAACACUAAAUACA